rnacentral:rRNA from 1 species
GAAGUCGGUGGGGUAACCUUUUUGGAGCCAGCCGCCUAAGGUGGGACAGAUGAUUGGGGUGAAGUCGUAACAAGGUAGCCGUAUCGGAAGGUGCGGCUGGAUCACCUCCUUU